CCAGGCUGGAGCGGCGGCUGGGGGAGAGGGGCGGCGUGGGCAGCAGUUCAAACUUCUUCCAGAUGUCCUCGGACGGGGCGGGGGGCUGCAGCUCGCUGCCCCGCUGCUGCGCCGCCAGCUCGACAGGACACGCGGGCGGCGAGACCUGAUCUACCGAGGGACCGGCUGCCGCCGACUCCUGGACCACCCUCCCCGCGGCCGGCGGCCCCUCCGGAGGGGCUCCCGCGGCUCGGCCGCCCUGCGCCGCUCGGCUCGGCUCGGCUCCCCACCCGCCGCCCCCCUCCCACGGGGCACCGCUCCGGCACGAAGCCCCUUCCCUCCCGGGGCCGCAGCGCCAUCCCCAUCCCGCCUCCCGCGUCCCGGGAGCCGGGCGGGAAGGGGCGGCGAGCUCCCGGGAGCUUCCAGCCGAGAGCCGGGCUGCUCCCCAGCCACCCACCUAGGCGUGCUGGCAGGGCGCGGGGACGGGCAGGGACCCUGGCAAACUUUGCCAAAUCUUGUCAUAUAUACAUAUAUAUACGCAUAUAUAUAUGCAUAUAAGCCAUAUGUGAAAUAACCAUAACCUGCCCGCGCAUACGCGGGAGAAGCAAAUGCUUCCCCCCCCACACACAC